rnacentral:lncRNA from 1 species
UUUUUUUUUGGUUCAUCUGAUCCUGGUUACAGGGGUUGGUUAUUCAGCUGUGUUGUUUCCCUCUACCAUUAUCUUUGGAGAUUUCCUGCAGAGAUUGUUAUCCACAUAUGGUUCCAAAGAGGGAGAAAGACAAUAGUCACUUU